CUAAAAUUUUUUGGAGUGCUGGUUUGGUAUUCAUGAAGUUCCUAAGGUUCUCUUUGUCAUGAAAGUAUCUUAUUUCUCCAUCAAUUUUGAAAGAUAGUUUUGCAGGGUACAUCAAUCUGUGUUGGAGACUGCUUUCCUUUAGGUCUUGCAAUACUUCAUUCCAAGCUAUUCUUGCCUCGAGGGUUUGCGAUGAGAAGUCUGCUGUGAUUCUGAUGGGCUUUCCUUUGUAUGUGAUUUGUUUCUUUUCUCUCACUGCUUGUAGAAUUUUGUUCUUCUGUUGGGUUUCUGGAAUCCUAUUAUAUGCCUAUGUGUAGUUUUUUUAAUCAAGGCUAGCUGGAGUCCUAUAUGCCUCACUUAUCUGUAUGUCAAAUUCUCUUCCCCUGCUUGGAAAGUUUUCUGUCAUCACUUCUAUGAACAGUUUUUUAAUGUCAUCUGCACUCUCUCCUGUUUCUUCAUUGGCUUCGAUCAGUCUUAUGUUAUUCUUCUUUCCAUCAUCUAGCGGCUCCUGGAUUGAUUUCUCGUGGUCCCUUACAAUUUGGAAGCAAUUUUUCUUUUCCACGUCACUAAUUGCAAUCUUAUCUUCUAUAUCUGAAAUGCUGUCUUCACAUUAGCUCAUUCUGCUGAGUACACUUUUGAUGGAAUUUUUAAUCUCCUGGAAAUCUGUUUGCAUCUGUUUUAUGGAUUCGAUUUCUUUCCUAUGUUGGGAUUCCAUCAUGUUCCUCAGCUCCUCUAUUUUUUUUAUCUGUCUCCUCUCUCGAUUUAUUAAUCAUGUCCUGCACUAUGGGCACAAUCUCUGCUAUUAUGUGAGAAAUUAUUUCUGAUUUCAUUUUUUCCAUAUCCUCUUUUGUUGCCAGUUCAGGGAGUCCAGGUGGUUGAGUGUCAGAGUGUUCCAUCUCAUUUCCCUUUGGGGGUGCUAUAGGUGAUCUGGAAGUCUGGUUCUGAGGCUUGUUUAUGUGUCUUCUCAUUUCGAUGGGGUGGGGGUUGCUGGUGCUGUCCCUGUGGCUCACCUCCUCUGUGCUGGGAGCUGUGGCUUGCCUGCCUGGAAGCCUCAAGAAGAGGUUUAUUUGGGCUCGCAUUUUUUUGGAAGUUUCAAUCUUUAGCCAGCUAAGAGGCAGAAAUGUCAUUGUAGAAGGGUUUGAGUGAAAGAAAGCUGCUCACAUCAUGGUGGCCAGGUAGCAGAGAGCAAAGGAAGGAGCCAGGGAGAGAGAUACAUCCUUCCAGGAUACCCCAGCAACAGUGGCCUGCCUCUUCUAAAAAGAUGCCACCUUCUAAGAGCAAGUCAGUUAUAGUGCCCCAAUAAUCCAAUUAUCUAAACACAUGAGGCACUAGGGGCCAUUUUCAAUUAAAUCAUAAUAUUCCACCUCUAGCCCACAAAAGGCUCAUGUAUGUCUCUAUGCAAAAUGCAUUUAGUCCAUCUCUAAAAGUUGCCAAAUUCUUAGUGGUUUCAGCAUUGCUAAAAAGUCCAAGCUCAAAAGUCUCCUCUGAGAGUUAAGGAAAACUCUUCACUGUUAGCCUCAGUGAAAAUCAAUAAUGUUAAACACUUACAACAUACAGCGGCACAAGGUAAACAUUCCCAUUCCAAACAGGAGGAAUAGGGGAAUAGAAAGAAAUUAGACAAAAGCAAGGCAGAAACCUAGCAGCAUAAACAUUAAAUCCUAUAAUUUCAUAUCCAGCACCCAGAGCAAGUCAUGGCAAGAUGUGAACUUCAAAGGGCUGGGGAUCCCCACCCACUAUAGCAUUGUUGGUUGCAUACCUCAUGGUCUCUGUCUUGGUUUGGCUCUGCUUGCUGCUUGUAUUUUCCUCAACAAUUUUUCCAUGUUCCUGGCUUAUUAAAUUUCCUGUGGUUGCCACUGUAGUUUUAGAUUCAUUUGCACAUUUUCAUCCACUACCCUCUCAGAGGCACACUGCCUGGUCUUUUCCUGAAAUCUUGGUGGAAGCCUCCCUGAUCCCACAACUCUUGCAUUCUGCAUGCACCUAAAACCAGAACUAUGUGAAUAACACCAAGAUCUGCCAGCAGCUCAAGCAGUAGCUAGGCCCCCUUGGACCAUCAUUCCAGAGGACCCAAGUGCCUUAGACCGUGGUGCUCGUCGCAGAGGGCACCAUGGAAGACUUUCCUCACUCACAUUCACAUCCCCUCAUCCUUGGGUGAGAGGAAGCCUCUGGAUCCCAUGUGGACUCACCAAAUGAGUCCUCCUCUCCUCCUGCAUGGAAAGGCAAGAUCUAGUGGGUUCUCUGGACAAGCAUCCUUCAGCGUCAUUGAUGAGGAGAGUUCCAGAUCUACAGUGCCUACUGUUUGCUUCUUCAUGUAUGUUUUAUUUCCUGAACUUGAUUGUGACCUGCUUGAUGCUGAGGACCAUGUCCUCUGUCAGGUUUGCAGCCCCCCAGUGCCCAGGACAGUAGGGAGAGCACAGUAUGUGGUCAGUAAGUAUUUGUG
rnacentral:lncRNA from 1 species